AUUGAACGCUGGCGGCAUGCCUUACACAUGCAAGUCGAACGGCAGCACGGGAGCAAUCCUGGUGGCGAGUGGCGAACGGGUGAGUAAUAUGUCGGAACGUGCCCAGUAGUGGGGGAUAACCGCUCGAAAGAGCAGCUAAUACCGCAUACGACCUGAGGGUGAAAGGGGGGGAUCGCAAGACCUCUCGCUGUUGGAGCGGCCGAUAUCAGAUUAGCUAGUUGGUGGGGUAAAGGCCUACCAAGGCAACGAUCUGUAGCGGGUCUGAGAGGAUGAUCCGCCACACUGGGACUGAGACACGGCCCAGACUCCUACGGGAGGCAGCAGUGGGGAAUUUUGGACAAUGGGGGCAACCCUGAUCCAGCCAUGCCGCGUGAGUGAAGAAGGCCUUCGGGUUGUAAAGCUCUUUCGGCCGGGAAGAAAUCGCACAGGCUAAUACCUUGUGUGGAUGACGGUACCGGAAUAAGAAGCACCGGCUAACUACGUGCCAGCCGCCGCGGUAAGAC
rnacentral:rRNA from 1 species